rnacentral:lncRNA from 1 species
ACCUCUCUCCUGUAAUAGUACAAGCUCCCAUAGCAAUGACAUAUUUUGGUUCAGGCAUUUGCUCAUAUAAUCUUACUAAAGAAGGAGCCAUUUUCAUUGUUACUGUGCCGGCUGUUAAAAUUAGGUCUGCUUGUCUAGGACUCGAUCUUGGUACCAAUCCAUAACGAUCAAAGUCGAAUCGCGAGCCUAUUAAUGAAGCAAAUUCAAGUAAUUUAUCGCAUGAAGCCAAAGAGACAAAAAAAUUUAUAAUUUUGGAUAAAUAUACUACUCAUUCACUCAAUUCAUGUAUCCCUCUAACAUCUCAACCUUUAAAUUUCAAGUCAUCAAUGAAGAUUUUGAAACAAUUAAACACAAUCCAACUUUUAAAUACCCAAAACAAAGAAAAUUGCUCCUAGAUUGUUUAUAGAAGAGACCCUGUGAACAGCGGUACUGCAGCAUACACAUUGAGAUAUGUAGACACAACUAGAAUAACCUCUGCUACCGUCUGUUUCAUUUUUACCAUCCUCAUCAAAAUUCAGCAGCGACAGUUAACAAUGGGUUUUCCUCAACCAACAUGUUAACACAGGCAACCUUAUAAAAUAUGUUCUACCAAAAUGAUUAGAUUGAUAACCAAUCAAAAUAACCCAUAGACAGCAUAUUGGCACUACUACUAGUUAAUGAAUCAUGGAUGUAGAAUUUAUCUUGUGAUCAACAUCUCCCACCAAAUCAUUUCUUUCUUUACUUCCUCCGUUUUCUAGUAGAAGAAAAACCAAGUCUAACUGCAUAUUAGGCAUAUCAUGGCAUGGAUAGUUAGAGUAAAAAUCCACAACAUUGUAAAUGCUGUUAAAAAUUUUCUUCAAUUAAUCCCCAGAUCGAUAUAUCAUCCUUGAUAUUAUGAGCAAUGAAGUCCCUAUGUGCCCGAGCGCUCCAAGUGCUCGAUAAGUGGGUUGGGCAGGAGACUUCAACGGGGCACGGCCCAGGCGCUGGGCGGGCCAAGUGCGGGUCAAGUCUGAGUCGAGCCACUUGGGAUUCGUGGUUCGAUCGAACCAUAUGAGAACAGUCUCACCCCUAAUCGCAGCGACGACGAACGAACCAGUCUUCUCCAACGACAACGGCAACAGUGAGUGUUUCCCUGGCAAACGACGCCAACAACAACGUCGUCUUCCUCCGGCGAGGUAAUAUCAUUGUUGUGUCUUCCUCUCCUAACGGUGACAGCGACAUCUUCCCCUCGCGGAAUCUCUCUCUUGCACCUCCUCUUCCCCCUUUGCCGUCGCAUACUACCUUCUCCUUCCUUUUUCUUCAUCGCAGCCGUCCUUGCUCCUCCUCCUGGACCACAGCUCCCUCUCUUUUCUCCUCCCUCUUUCCCUCCCAACCACCUAACCCCAGCAAGCUCUUCUCAUCCUCCUCCUCCUUUUAUGUUACUAUUUUUAUUAAUAUAAUAUAUAAAUUUUGUAAAUGAUUAAAUUUGUCAUUGGAUUAUUGUUACUUUUGCGGGGUUCUGUAAAUGAAUGGAUUUUUGUUUUAGUCUACUGUUAUAAAUCAUGAUAUAUAUAUCUUGCGAUCAUUUUAGCACCUUAGCGCUUGGAUUAGGAGAGGAGAAACUGAAAAUAAGAUUGCUUUACGUAGUCAUCAAUGUCAAACAUUCAUGACCACAAUCGUGAGCUCCCAAGUUCAGCCUCACACUAGAUGCGGAAGAAAAUUGAGUUGACUUACAAGACUAGAUGAAUAUUACCAUUAACUUUGGGCUUUUAGCAUUUGAUUCAUCUGGUUCAGACUUUUUUAAAGAAUGCUAUUGGAUGGAAUAUAUACUAGACAUGAUGAAAGGGCUCGACCUAUUUUAAGUGGAAGAGAUUUGACAUCUCAAAUUCCAACCUCUAAAUGAGCAUUCUAACCAAAGUCAUCAUCAAAAUAUAAAUCUUGCAUAUGUAAGAUUAAAUGCUCAAAUUAAAAGGAAAUAACAACUAAAUUAUAUACAUAGAAACAACUUAAUUUUUAUCAGCCUUCCAAGUAUGACGAUAUCCGAUAAGGAUUGCACAGAUGAUUCUGCUCAACCCAUAAGAAAAAUGAAGACAGAUAUACGCACAAUCAAACCCUAAAAUCAACAAAACAGACCGAUAUACUCAAAAGACGAAGAAGAGAAGAACAGCGGAUCGAAUGAACAAAACCAAACAAGACCCUGCUCCGCGAGAAGCAGAACAACCGAAAGAUCAAACGGCGAAACCAAUCGAGCCAAAACAAUUAAAAAUGGGACAGUGCAGGAGGGAAUAUCAUCGGACGGAAGGGAGCUAACCAUCUCCAUCAUCGUCGACCAAGCUGAAGGCCUCCUUGAACUCAGAGAUUUGCUCGUCGGUGACUUGCUUCGCCAUGCCUCCUAAGGGAUCGAACACCGGAGCGAUCCGAAGAAAGAGAUCUCUAACGACAACACGCAAUGAGAGAGAGGGAGGGAGAGACGAAGAGGGCGAAGGAGCGAUCUCGAGCGCCUUGUGACCCCGACGUGGCAGAUUUAGCGACGACAGUUAUAAAAUCCUCCAAUGGGAUAACGCCAUGUCGAUAAUCCGUUAACGGACGUCGUAUUUUUCUCUUGGUUCUUUUUAUUGCCGAGAUCAUCCUUGAUUGGAUAUCGACCGUCUGAUCUCAUACGGACGACACUCGUGCGCGUCAUCGUCUUUUUAAGGCCUGCACGUGGUGAAGCCCACGAACAAAUGCAGGUUAUGGAUUUCUAUUAGUUAUUCCAAUCUUUAACAUUCAUAAUUGUUCUUCCAAGAGUUUUAUAUAUAUAUAUAUAUAUAUGGAGAGAGAGAGAGAGAGAGAGAGAGAGUUUUGGAGUUAUCCAUCAGCUCGGCUCAAUCUCUGACUCGAACAUGACAUGAGAGAGGAAUCCAAGACCCAGUCGAGAUAAAGAAAGAAGAAGAAGAAGAAGAAGAACAGAGAACUUGAGAGUGGUGGAUUUCAGUGUGAAGUUUCAAGCUUCAGAUCUAAUACAACCUACUGAAGUGUGCACAUUUCAGCAUGCAUGUUCGAUCAGACACAGCCGCAGAACCUUAGCAACCUCACACGAGAGCUCAUAACACAAACAGCGUCGACUGCUGCAGUCCCGGAAAGUUGUCCAACAUCUCCGGGGUGAAGACAUCGUCGUCGAACAUCUCGAACGGCGCCGACGCCGUGGCCGUACGUGGAUCCAUGCCGGUGCUGUCAGAAGCCACUCCAGAUCCGGGCGCAGGCUUCACCGACGGCUUCUCCAGGCCAUCGAACACCAUCGACGUCGCUCCCGUGUCGCCGACGUUCGAGUCCCGGCCGGUGAGCUUCUGCACGAGGGCCCGGAAUUUGGCGACGCUGGUGGUGAACCGCAUGGGGUUGGAGAUGUACACCACCUUGACAGUCUUCUUCUUGCCCUUCCCUUGCUUGGGGCUCCUCGUCUGGUGGACGCUUAGCCUCCCCAUGGUGUAUGGCAAGCAAAACUAGUGUGAGAAGCAGAAGGGUAGAAGAAGGUGGAGGAAUCCGUUUAGUCCCACAGAUAUAGAUGAAGCAAUCUGGUAAGGGAGAGUUGGUCAUAUAUAAUGUAUUUUGCGGUUAAUUUCCUCCAAUAUAUAUAUAUAUAUAUAUAUAUAUAUAUAUAUAUAUAUAUAUAUAUAUAUAUAUAUAUAUAUAUAUAUAUAUAUAUACACGCGUCAAACACGAGAAGACACAUCAAAGUAAUCAAUUAUAUGCCAAUAAUUAAUGCGUUAUCAAGGUGAUAGACAUGAUUCAGAUUUAUUAGGUUAAUGUGUUAAUUAUUUUAUGGGAGACAAUACACUUAUAUUGAUGUAUAAGCGUUAUGGUAAUGGAAUAUGAUAAUACAUAUCCAUUUUCAAUAAAUAUGCUUUUAAGAGUUAGUAAUCAAAUAUUAAGAGAGAGAGAGAGAGGCUUGAUGCCUGUGGCUAAAGAUGGCUAAGACUAGUAGUAUGUGAGCCUGCCCACCCUCUUGAUUGAAAGAAGUAGGUCCUCUGUGUCAGACUGCUCCAUGUCUAAUCUCUGAAUGCAACCUUACCUUGUCUUCCCAUGGACCCUUCUACCACACCACACCCACUUCCUUGUUACAUGAGGCCAUGAGGUUAGGAGCAAUUCCCACCCAUGGGUUGCUUUCUAGGGUCUCCCACAUGCAAUCAGCCAAAUCCAUAAUAGCUUUUAUAUCAUCAGAUAUCGAUGUAUCUUUUAAUCUUUUCUUGUGACAUCAAAUGUUGUUGGUCGAUAUUUUAUUGAAAAUAAAUGAAAUAAAUAAUUUGAUUCAGUAUUUAAUUAGUUUACGUAUCAACCCUUUCGAUAUGUUUCAUAUGGAAUCAGAUCAAUAAGUCGUAGGAGUGGUUCUUGUUAUUAUCAUCAUAUUAAUAUUAUUUUUUAUAUUUAAAAUUAAAAUUAAUUAAUUUUUAAUUAUAUUACCAACCAAAAAUAAAGCACAUGUAAUGUAAAGUAAAUGUUCUAUUCAUAACUAUUUGUAUUCCACCAAAGAACAAAUGAUAUGUGAUUCUUAAAAUAUAUNNNNNNNNNNNNNNNNNNNNNNNNNNNNNNNNNNNNNNNNNNNNNNNNNNNNNNNNNNNNNNNNNNNNNNNNNNNNNNNNNNNNNNNNNNNNNNNNNNNNNNNNNNNNNNNNNNNNNNNNNNNNNNNNNNNNNNNNNNNNNNNNNNNNNNNNNNNNNNNNNNNNNNNNNNNNNNNNNNNNNNNNNNNNNNNNNNNNNNNNNNNNNNNNNNNNNNNNNNNNNNNNNNNNNNNNNNNNNNNNNNNNNNNNNNNNNNNNNNNNNNNNNNNNNNNNNNNNNNNNNNNNNNNNNNNNNNNNNNNNNNNNNNNNNNNNNNNNNNNNNNNNNNNNNNNNNNNNNNNNNNNNNNNNNNNNNNNNNNNNNNNNNNNNNNNNNNNNNNNNNNNNNNNNNNNNNNNNNNNNNNNNNNNNNNNNNNNNNNNNNNNNNNNNNNNNNNNNNNNNNNNNNNNNNNNNNNNNNNNNNNNNNNNNNNNNNNNNNNNNNNNNNNNNNNNNNNNNNNNNNNNNNNNNNNNNNNNNNNNNNNNNNNNNNNNNNNNNNNNNNNNNNNNNNNNNNNNNNNNNNNNNNNNNNNNNNNNNNNNNNNNNNNNNNNNNNNNNNNNNNNNNNNNNNNNNNNNNNNNNNNNNNNNNNNNNNNNNNNNNNNNNNNNNNNNNNNNNNNNNNNNNNNNNNNNNNNNNNNNNNNNNNNNNNNNNNNNNNNNNNNNNNNNNNNNNNNNNNNNNNNNNNNNNNNNNNNNNNNNNNNNNNNNNNNNNNNNNNNNNNNNNNNNNNAUUUUUAAUAAAUAAAACGGGAUUCAAGCUCAAGUAUCAAAAUGUUAGCGUACGUCAUUAUCAAUCAAAUCAAUGUUUUAUGUCUGACAAAGAAAACUUUUAUAAGAGUAUGAAUUCAUCAUGUUCUUAAGAGGAAACAGCAUCAUAAAAGCUUGAAAAGCCAGUUGGAACGAGCUGUCUGUCCUCCAUAGUUUUCACCCUCUUUCCUCCUCAAAAAAAAACAAGAACAAUAGAUACAAGCAAACAACGCAACUUAAAGGUUGAAAAGCCUCUUCAAGCAGCACGUUGUCCUCCCCGUCGCUGCUUUAUAUCCACACAACAUGGACCAUCUACCUGCUCUUCCUUUGUCUUCUUCCCAUAUUAUCUAUCUAUCUAUAUAUAUAUAUAUAUAUAUAUACAUAUAUGAAUAAUCUUUUUAUAAAAAAAAUUAUUCUAAAAACGCCAAUGCCAAUGUUAGAGAUCGAUCUAUUGAGAACUCCAAAUAACUUUGGGCCUCCAAUCCAAUAAGGAUCAAAAAGCGGGUCGUUGGAUCGGCCCACGGCCCACGGCCCACGGCCCAUGAAAUAGACGAGCCGGACCAUGGGCUGGUUUACCUUAUAAGAGUGAUGUAUAUUAUGUUUCCAUAAUUGCAAUAAAUUUGUUUUUUCCAAAAAUAAAUUGAAGGUUUUCUAAAAUUGCUGUCGUUAAGUGAUUGCUUGAUUACAUUCUCCAUUACUGCUAUAGCAGUAGUGAUUAGUGAAAGGAGACGACGUCGGACGGCGCCGUCAAGGUGUCGGUCAACGACAGGAAUAGGUGUGUGGGCGCCACCGCCGUCAUCAGAAGGGCCCAUCGACGGAAGAGGAAGCAAAGCACGGCCACGAGUACCCGUAUGCGAUACACGAUGUACGUAUUCUGUACAACACGUGGAGGUACAGUCGAUGAUGAGAUGGGAGUCACCCGUCAACUGCUUCAUCCUUACACUGAACAGUCGCAGUAAAACAAAAAUAUAUUUUCUUUUGAUUUAAAAACAUUUUUUUACAUUAAAAAAAGUCCCCAAUCGUCGACGCAUUGCCCAAAAAUAAAAUAAGAAUUGGAGGGGGGAUCGAAGAGCGGAGUCAAAGUAGUGGUAGGAGUGGGAAGGAGUGGCCCUCCGCCGUCUCCUCGCCCCCCCCAAAUCUAGGGUUUUAGGUGCAGGGGUUGCGUCCUAUCCGCUCCAAGUCCCUCCAAGAUCGCUCCUUUGUGGCUUGAUUCGUCUCGAUUCGUGGCGGGUUCGUGCUUCCUCGGAGGCCGACUUGUUUUUUUUGGGCCUCGAUCUCCCUCCUUCGGAAGCCGACGGGUGCUGUUUGGACGCUUCCGUCCUGUGUGUACCGGUAGGGAUCGAAGGGUUGUCGUUCUCGGUUAAGGGUUGCCCUUGCUUGUGUUUGUUGGGAGAUUCGCUUUUCUUGCUCCGAGAGGUUGGUGCGGAAAGGGGAUUCUUCGUUUCCGGUCCCGUGGAAGCAUUCUAGGUUUGUAAAGUUGAGAUCUUGGGGGGUUUUUUUUCUCCUUUGGGGCUGCUCUGUGGCGGUCGAGGAGAGGAUGGCGACGGUGGAUGGGGUGUAGGAUAGGUGCGGUUGGAGUCGAAGAUGGUAAGCUAACUGCGGCCGGGGUGCUGAGCUCUAUAUCCUCGUUGAUGGUGGUUCAGAACAAGUAUGUGUGUAGCCUCUACAACUUAUAUGCUUUGUUUCUUCUUGUUACUUCUAGAUGAAUCUGGUAUCUGUCAAUGUUCAACUUGGUUUUGAAUUUAGUUCCCGUGGUCAUAAUUACCCUUUUUUCUUUUCUUGCUUGACACAAUUGCAAUCAGCUUUAUUUUUUCUAGGCUCAGCAGCUGCGAUACCUUCUCUGUUUUCUCCCUUAUAAAUUAACUUUCUACCUCUUUGUCUAAGACAGCAACAAUCACUAUGCUCAGCGUUCCUUUUUUUUUUUUUUUUCUCAUCCUCGUUAUGGAAUUGUCAAAAUGUCGAGUGUGGACAUUAGAUAAAAUAAAAUAUUAGUCGAAGCUGUGACUUGAAACUGCAUCAAAACAACCAAAUUUGUUUGACUGUGUUUAUUGCAUAUCUCAUCUUCAGUGUUUUCAAAUGAUUGGAUCUUUGAAAUGAAUCUCUCUCAGUUGGAGACAAUGCACAGAAAAUUUAAAGGGAUGAGAAAAAAAAAGAUGAUCAUGCAGAACUUUUUGGAAUGUGUGAAAAGGAGGGGAUUCUUUAUUGUCUACUUUGUAAUGGAUCUUUGUCAUGUGAUUGUUACUGACAGAACAUAUUACAUCAUCUAGGAACUCUGUCUAGCCUUUUUCUCAAAAAUCAGACUUGAGUGAGAAAGGCCAUCUAUGCUUUCGAGGAUGAAGAAUACUAUUGACUGCGGUUUUGAUUAAUGAUCACUACACUAAAGUUUUGACAUUGCUAAACAGGAAGCAAUGUUUUUACUGUAUUAUUAGGUUGGUCUUUGAAGACGAGCCGGCAUUUGUCAUCAAACAUUUUGGAACAUUUAGUUGAUGCAUGUAAUUCUUUUGUAUGACCCACAGGUUUAUGUAAAGGAACAACUUGGCAAAGUCUGUCAAGAAAUCCAAAAUGGGAAGAAAGACUAAUACUAUGUUAUUGCAUGGCUCUUUGAAGGUUACUAGAGUUUUCAUUUCUUGUGAAGUUUUGUAAUGUGAAUACUUAGGCUUAUAAAAGAAUGACUUGAAGAAGUAUGUGAAGAUAAAUGGAUAAGUAAUGUGCCCAGUGCCAUAAACCUAAAAUUCACUGUGGAUAAGAAAUUUUUUUUCUUUUGAUCUUCUGUAGAAAAAGGAGAUAAGGGGUUCAUCAAGGAAACUUUUCACUUUGCUUAAACCUCCAAGUAUCAUGGUGCAUCAUGCCUUUCGAUAUGGAAUUCUCAAGCUUAACCUGAAAUAUUUGUUUGGUUGUUGCAAGGUUUACUUUUUGUUGUUGCAAUUUUAGAUGUUAUUAAACUUCCAAAAUGCAAGGCUUGCUCAAAGGGAUGGAGGAAAAGGGUUGGUGUAGCAAAGCUAUAUCUAUGAUUUUUGAAAUUCAAAAAAUUGGCAGAUCCCAAUUCCAUUGUCAUCUUGGGAGACUUGGCUGAUAUUGAUGGGUUUCAGUUGUCUUUGGUUGAUUUUAAUUGAUCUUGUUCUUUGUCAAGCCAAUUCUUACUGAUCACAGGAUCAGUCUGGUGAAAUUUUAGUCAAGUUGCACGUUCUUUCACUUCUACCAGCUUUUAGUAGAAUUUGGUGGAGCUUUUAGCACCAUGCUGAUACUGGCCUACCGAGGAGGAUCAUUUAUGGCAGAUCCAUCCAGAUUUGGUAGUGAGACUGUCAUGAUAUCAACCUCUUGUAUCAGACUAGUUGUGAAUGUGUACACUUGUUGAUUUGGGUCAACAUGCAUAUGGACACGGUCGAGUUAAUUUAUUAUUUAUCUCAAAUCAACAUCAUUGUUGGUCCCUUUAUAAGCAUGCUUUUGUGCUUCAGAAUGGUUGACGUAGCAAGAAAAGAAAGUAAGGAGAAUGAAGAAAUGUCUGGAGGGGAAAUGUGUUUGAAGAGGAAAGAGAGGAAAUUAGGGAAAGAGAAUGUGGAAAAUUGGAAUAAACAACAGGGAGCCAGGUGGCUGGGACCCUCUGUCAUGUUGUUCUGGUUAGUAUGACCUGUGCCACACAUCAAAUGAAUACAUAGAUGAUUUGGUUCAGCAUGCAUAAUUCAGUACGCAAAUGGGUACCUUAUGAAUCACUGUUCUGUGUGCAUCACAUUUGUGCUGCUAUACGCAUUGGCUUUUUGAGCUUUAGCAACUGCUACUUUGCUUAAUGGCAACUGCUAUUUUACUUAGUAGAUUCAUUAAGUUAGCUAGGACGAAUAGACUUGAUUUAUUUGGGUUUCAGACCUAAGACAAAGAAUUGUGUAGGGAUACAUGAUAGAGAAGUUUUCAUUCUUACUGAUAACUGCACAGGAGAAUAUGUUUUGGAUUGAUGUUAGAAAGUUGAGCUUCCAAUAACAACAAAAAUAUGUUCUGAACCAAGGUUUUCUUCACCAUAAUAUUAGCUCUUUAAAUUUUUCUUUGAUACUAGAAAUGCCAUCUUUUAAAAAUAUCUACAAAAUAUUGAUGUAAGUAGUAUGAAAAAAUUGGAAAUUACCUACUUAAUUUUUCUUGAGGAAGCGUUGGAUGCAUCUUAAGCAAAUUUCUAUUGGUCCCAAAUAAGAUUAUCUUAAACGGGAAAAUAUUCUAGAAGGCCGAAACUAAUUAAGAUUAUAUCCUGAACUCUUACCUUUAAUCUAAAAUGGUAGCAGGACCUAUGAGUUGCCUUGUCAUUUGUGCUGAUCUGGCAGCUAGCAUGCAAUAAAGUGCUCGAGCCAUAAAUUCCUUCUCUGUUUCGUAUUCUCAGUUAAGAAAGUUUUCACAUAUUCUUGUAUUUUAUAGCUUCACAUGUUAGGCUAGCUACUUGAUGCUGGUAGGAAAACACUCUCCUUAUUUUUUAUUUUCCUGGUAACAGACUCCACAUUCAGCUGCUACUGUUGAGUGUUUGACUUCUCUCCAACAGAAGAUUAGCUUGGUGCCAUAAUCUUGCAGUCACUUUGAAAACCAGGAAGAUUUUCGACAAUGGCAGAUACUAGUCCUAGGACAGAUACCUCCACAGAUGUAGACACAGAUGACAAAGAUCAGAUGGUGAUUUUCUUUGCUCUUUUUUUGGAAAGUGAUACAAACAACUGAAUGUUAUUAUAUGCAUCAUCUGAAUGUUAGGUCGUCUUUCUUCCUUGGCUGUUUUUUUUUAAAAGAUGAAGUGGGGAAAGUCUCAUCCAUUCUGUUUCUUUAUUCUCUUUUUUUUACCUGCCCUUGCAAUUUUUGUUUCUGCACUAUGUUAAAGUACUGUAAACUGCAUUACUUCUCUGUAUGCUUUUCGUUAAGUGCAUAUAAAGUACGCCAAGUAUGAGUAAUUUUCGGUCAACAAUUUGUAUAUUACUUCUUUCUGUGCAAUAUUUAAAAAACUGGGUUGUUAGACCUAGAAGUUCGGAUGCCUCUUAUGCAUGCUUAUAUGCUUCUCUGGUUCAUUACUUUGUUGAUUUUCCAUGACCACUUAUCUCUACUUUUAUGUCAUUUCUGUAUGCAUCUUUCCUUAGCCUUAGAAAUUAUAAACGCAUCAUUGACAUGAUUUUUCCUGGAUUAAGUCUGUAUGUCUAAGAUUUGGUGCUGAUUCAGGAUUAAAGGAGGUUGUUUUGGAAUGGAAUCCAUUAUGUUCUUUGUGGUUGUGUUUCUGAGGACUUCCAAAUUAUGAUUCAAAUCAACUUUGAUGUCAUCUAUAUUACUUCUUUUGGCAUGUUGCAUGAAACAUACUGUAGAACACAACCUAGCGAAUAAUGGAACUUUAGAAGCUUUUAGAUGUACAUGUUGUAAGUAGAGCAGGCCACGAUGAUGAUUUUUAACUAUAAACCUGUUUUGAUGAGUUUAAUUGUCAUGCAUUGUAGAAUGAACCUACUUGUUAAGUUUAAGCUAUGGUCUUUUUAUUGUCAAGGACCCAGUUUAUACAUAGUAACUUGGAGCAUGAUAUCUUUAUAGUAUGAUAGGUGGCGUUGAUAGAAAUGCAACCAUGAUUUUGUGUUCAUUGUAGUUAUAUGUCAACACAGAAUUUGACUGAUUUAGAGGAUUUAUGGCCACAACAUGUAAAUGGAUUAUGCUAAUAUUUGUUUUCUGAUUAGAGGUGAAUGUACAUCUUCAUGUCACUUGAAUUUAAAUUUCAUUGUCCUCUGCGACUUUGGAUUUCUUUAUCUUGAUUUGCAGUUAGAACAAGGACAACUUGCUGUUGUUGCAGCAUCUGAUUCAAGUGACAGGUCGAAGGACAAAACACUGGACCAAAAAGUAACUAUAUUCUGCAUUUUACAGUCAAUUGUCACCUUCUGUAUUACUCAAAAAGUACAAUAACAUCAUUGAACAUUUUUGCCGGACAGACACUUCGUCGACUUGCUCAGAACCGUGAAGCUGCCAGAAAGAGUAGGUUAAGGAAAAAGGUAAUUCAUCUAUAUCUCGCCGGAGGUUUUAUUGCUGCUUUGUGGUAGCACUAAUAAGAAACAGUAUUUUAUGUUAUUGGGUAAAGAGUUUUGUCUAAGAUGAUGUCAUUAGGAAUUAGUUGAUGCCAGGUUGAUGACCCUGUUGUUAGUUCUCCAUGUAGCCUCCACAAUUUUAAUUUGUACUUUAUAGCUUACCUCACAAUAGUAGGUAAAUGUAAUGACCUGUCUAUCAUUAUGUUGAUUUGGCAUAGAAGUGAGCUCAUUUUGCAAAUGUAAUUGAAAUUUGUAUUAUGAUGAACAUUCCUUUUUUUUUCCUUUUCAUGCAAAUAAGAUUUUUUAUGUUAAUUUUAAUCAGAUGUGUUUCUGAUUAAUUAUAUAUUCACCUCUCUCCUUAAAUUACAAGGCUUAUGUACAACAACUAGAGACUAGUAGAAUGAAGCUUACUCAACUUGAGCAGGAGCUCCAAAGAGCUCGCCAGCAGGUGUGACCCUUUUCUUGAUCAUCUCCUCUUAUCUGUCCUAUUGAGAAUUAUUAUUUUUUAACAUUGUGGAUUAUGUAGUCAGGUUGAGAUUUAUGUCCUUUUUGCAGGGAAUUUUCAUUUCUAGCUCAGGAGAUCAAACUCAUGCUAUGGGUGGAAAUGGUAAUUUCUCUUGCAUGAUUUCUUGUUCUAUUUUUGUGUUUAUGAUAACCUUGUCCAUAACAUACAUAGACGAGUAUAUUUUGAUUUGAACGACUGGCAUAAGUGCAUUUGUCACAAAGGUUUUUCUCCAUGCUACUUGUACUUUUUGUCUAUACUUAACCUGAUAUUUUCUGUUUUUGAUAACUUAUAGAAAAGUAGCGUAACGAGGGUUUAAUAAGGGUUCAUCCCUCAACAGAUUUGUAAUCUGAAUUUACAUUCAAACUGGCUAACUUUUGUUCUUUCAUAUGAUAAAUUCAAAAUCAUAUAUGGCUACCUUCGUUACAUGCUAGCAUAGAUUGUGUUUUAGUUUAUUUGCCACCUGUCCUAUAAUCAGUGUCUAAAAAAAUAAUCAUUGCAGGGGCCUUGGCUUUUGACGUAGAAUAUGCACGAUGGCUUGAAGAACAUAACCGGCAGAUCAAUGAACUGAGGACUGCAGUGACUGCUCAUGCCAGUGAAAAUGAUCUCCGUGUUAUUGUUGAUGGCAUCAUGGCCCAUUACGAUGAAAAAUUUAAGCUUAAGGGUGUUGCUGCCAAGGCAGAUGUCUUUCAUAUAUUAUCAGGGAUGUGGAAGACACCAGCCGAGAGGUGUUUCUUAUGGCUGGGGGGUUUCCGCUCAUCUGAGCUUUUAAAGGUAUGGGACUUUGUACCUCGCAAUUUUUUCAUGCUACCUGAAGUUUACUCCAUCAAAUGAAUGUGCAGUGGAAGCAAUCUAAAUUGGCUAACUUUUUUUUUUUUGUAAAAUGUCUAAUUUGGAUUCUCAUUGGCUCCCCAAACAGUUGGGACGUACACAUUGAUGUCAUCAUCAUUGUGGAUCUCUCUUUGGGUGUUUUCUUUUUUCCUUUUCUUUUUGUUGGAUCACUAUCUCAGUUCUCAUUAUGCUGCAACUUCACAGCUACUUGCAAGUCAGCUGGAGCCACUUACAGAGCAGCAAGUAAUGGGCAUUUGCAACCUGCAGCAGUCAUCACAACAGGCCGAGGAUGCUCUCUCUCAAGGGAUGGAGGCAUUACAGCAAUCCUUGGCGGAAACAUUGGCUGGAUCACUUGGUCCAUCUGGAUCCUCAGGAAAUGUUGCAAACUAUAUGGGUCAAAUGGCAAUGGCGAUGGGCAAACUUGGAACUCUCGAGAGUUUUCUUCGUCAGGUGAAUUUUACUAAUGCUCAGAUUUUCCGUCUCCUAUUUAUCUAUUAUAGCACAGAGGCUACUGCAUACUUUGGAUUAGUUUGCUGUUGUGCAGUUUUAUCAUUUCUGUGUUCUCUUUCUAUUCUCUAGGUCUUUUUGGUGUCUCAUUUUGUAUCCAUGUAGCCUUGCUUCUCGCUGUCCAAAGAAGUACUGAACUUGAAAUGAUUAUCAUUCACGACUGUUUCUGUUUAUUUUUUCCAGGCUGACAACCUACGACAACAAACACUGCAACAGAUGCACCGGAUAUUAACUACUCGUCAGUCUGCACGGGCACUUCUUGCCAUCAAUGAUUACUUCUCACGGCUUCGUGCCCUCAGCUCUCUUUGGCUUGCUCGGCCGCGGGAGUAAGCCAAAUUUGUUAUUUGUGCCUUACCUGAGCUCAUUUCUUCCUACUCUUAGAGCUGAUCACAAAAAUAUCUAUCUUAUCGGUCAGAGUUACUACUAGCUCCAGUAUAUCAUGGCUGGCUGGAUGCUUGCAGUGUAGUUUUAGACACUCGGUGGAGCUAAAACUUAACUCAUGUACAGCAAGAAUAGCCCACCAUUCUCAUGCGAUGUACCAUUAACUUGUGCGAGAAAACCCACCUCAUGUUGUUGGCGUUCUGUAAGCUUGUAUUGUCUCAGUUAGAAAAAAAUGAUUAUUGAAUAAUCACGCAGAAAUUUUACCUAAUGUUGUUUCUUGCGAAUUGAAGCUGUUGAUAUGUUUAUGAGAAUGCCGUGCAAAGGGUGAUGUUGUGUUCCUAUCUGAGAACAAACAGGCUAUUGGAUCCUCUUUAUGCCACCGAUGCAUGUGUUCUGAGAAUGCCGUGGAUUCUAUAUGGUAACGUUUAUCUAACAUUUUCCAUGAAGAUGUUUUGUAGUCGAACAUAUACAUGCAUCAAAACCAAAGAGACAAAUCCAAACAAGAAGCAAAACAGUACAGAAGGGAAAGCCAUGCAUGAGUGCGUGGGCGGAUCAAAUGUAUGCUUCAGUCGCCAAGCGUGGGCUCAGAAGCGCCUUGACAGGCACAGCCUUGGGGAGCGCCAACCCAAACUUCUCCUCCAUGUCGAGCUCCUCCCCCUCCGGCAGCUUCCAGUCGAACGAGUGCACCAACGUCGCCAGCAUGUACUGCACGAACACCAUGCCCACGAGCUUCCCCGCGCAGAUCCGCCGCCCGGCCCCGAACGGUAUCAGCUCGAAGUCGUUGCCCUGCGGGUCGAUCUUGGCCGCCUUGCCGGAGACGAAGCGGUCGGGGUCGAACGCGAGGGGGUCGUCCCACGCGGCGGGGUCGCGCCCGAUGGCCCAGAUGUUGACGAGGAGGCGGGUGUUGCCGGGGAUGUAGUAGCCGUUCACGUCGCACUCCUCGAAGGAGAAGUGGGGGAGGCCGAGAGGUGUGGACGGGUGCAGGCGCAGCGCUUCCUUGCACACCGCGUGCAGGUAGGGGAGCUUGGGCAGGUCGGAUUCCUGGACCAUGCGGCCUCGGCCCACCACGUAGUCGAUCUCGGAUUGCAGGCGGCGGAGGAUGCUCGGGUUCUUCAGCAUCUCCGCCAGCGCCCACUCCACGAUGACCGCCGACGUGUCGGUGCCGGCUGUGAACAGGUCCUGCAUGCAGAGUGCAGACGUGAUCAGCAACCAAGGUUUGAUCAAACGAAGGUUAGAAUCUCGAGGAGUGCUGAUGGUGUCCUCCUCGCCCCACCGGCCAAUUCAAGAAUAGCCUUCGGAACCUAAUCUAAAGAUGGAUGGUGACGCAUGCUGGAGUGGAGUAGAUUUGUAAGUUAUUCGAUGGGCAUUUGGUCGAGCACCUUAAUCAGACACCUAAUCUUGGGAGUGGAAAGCUCAAGGAGAACUCACAAAGAUGAUAGCCUUGACGUUGACGUCCGUGAUGGUCUCGCCGUCCUCUCCCUCCCUGUUGGCCAUGAUAGUGUCGAUGAAGUCCGGCCUCCCUCUGCGCUCCUCCUUGGUGGUCUCGUGCUCCUCCAACAGCUUCGUCACCAUGGCGUCGAACCGAACAUGCACCCUCCGCAUCUUCGCCUGUACCCGCUGCAGGUCCAUCCACGCGAUAGCCGGCACGAAGUCGCCGAUGUUGAACAGCCCGCCCCCAGUCAGCAGCUCCACGAUCAUGUCCUUGUAAUGGUUCGACUCGAUGCCCUGGACGUCGAACACCCGCUUGCUCACCACUAUCUGGCCAAUGAUGUUGGCCAGGGCGCACACCAGCAUCUCCGGCAGCACCACAGGGCGGCCCUCCGCGGCCGCUCGGUGCAUGGACACGACCAUGUGGCCGAACUCGGCGCGGCGCACCGGGGCCCAGUCGGCAAGCGCCUUGCCGCCCAGGAGGUGGAGGCUGCAGAGCUUGCGGAGGAGCUUCCACUUGGGGCCGUAGUCGGCGAACACCAUGUUCUGGCGGUGAUAGGUGACGUCCAUGGCGCUGAUGACGUUCGGGCGGUUGGCGAACUGCGCGUCGUGGGCCUUGAGGAAGGCGCGGGCAGCGCCGGCGUCAGAUGCCACGACGCAGCCGCAGCUUCCCAUCUUGAGGUACAUAAUGGGGCCGUAGCGCUGGGCCAGGCGGGCUAGGCCGGUGUGCGCCUGGAGGCCGACGAGGGGCAAAGCGCCGAGGACAGGGUAGCCUCGGGGGCCGGGCGGGAGGGGGAGGCGAGAGGGCGACCUGUGAAGGAAGCGGCGGAGGAGGUGGUGGAUGACGAGGCAGAGCGCGGCGGUUGCCGCGAUGAAGGGGUCGAUUUGCAUGGUGGUGCUCAGCAAACAGCCACAAGCAAAUUGAUUAUGUUAUGUGAUGCUUAGUGCCGAGCUGUCGAUAUAUAUACACACACAUAUAUACAUACAUAUAUAUAUAUACAUAUAUACAUACAUAUGUAUAUAUAUAUAUUUACAUAUAUAUACAUACAUAUAUAUAUACAUAUACAUACAUAUACAUGUACAUAUAUAAAGACAAGCAAACGAUAUGAUAUACAGGGACAUCAUAAUGUACACAGCACACACCACACCAUUGAAUGAUUACAGUCACUACACAUCGACUCCGGACCAUAGUGGAGACUCGGUUGUGAUGUCGGUCGACUUCUACCAUCGAAAGACACAGGAAAACUCGAAGAGCAUUGCUCACCAAACAAGUUGAUUGUUUCAUACUCCAUCUAUGAUGAAUCAAAACUAUCAUGGAUCCAUUAGCCGCUGUUGCCGUCCACUUUAGAAGGUCGGAUAAGACAUUAGGGUCUCCACCACGAACACACAAGCCGAGAAGGUUCUCAGCAAGUGGAGCAGACACCGAGUGUGCGGUUGGGUGGGUGCGUAGAGGUUGGUGGCAACUGUUUCAAGGAUUUGCAAUGGGAAGACACCAACGGCGAAGGAAAUCAUGGAUGAGGAGGGCCAGACAGCAAUGUGGUCUGCUGGUGUAGCUUCCACUUCAAACAAAGACAAAACUAAAAAGGCCUCAGAGGCGAUUGAUUCCAUGUCACCACCGUCUGCAUGGUCUCAUAAAUUAAUUACUUUGCUCGCAAGUGUUUGAACGAUACGAUACGCUACCUUUCUUUCUCUACCAACUGUUACUUGAUUGAGACUAUAUCAUGUUGUAGUAAUCUUUUAGUUAUUGGCAACAUGAGAGAGAUUAAGCUAUAGUUUUUUCUUUAUUUUCGUCGUAAAGUAGUAACACACAAAUUACUUUCUCGGGGAGAUUAAUGUACUCGGAAGGAAAGAAUGGAUGAAUAGAGACAACAAAGUCAAAGAUGUAAAGCUGCUAGCCGUCGCUCCCCUCUACCUACGACGCCCACAGCGGCGGUGGACUUCGUAGUUGGUGAGAUAGCGUCUUGUGGGCCGUUGUUGGCCUUCUAUUGUGGCGUCUGUCACUUCACGUUUGGGGUUCCUGUGGGUUGCCACUCCAACCAAAUUCUUGCAGCCAUCGAAUUAAUAAUUGCCACCGGUUGGUAGUCAUCAUUGCUCUAAAUAUCGACAUCCAGUAGUAUUUGGUGGGUGGGUGAGUGGGAUGGAUGGAUGGAUGGAUGGAUGGAAAAGAGAUUGAAAGGGGGCACACAAUAAAACAAUCAUAAGAAGAGUAAAAUUCAACUAGUUUGAAGACCCGUUACAGCAGCUUAUUUGUAGAAGAAUACUGUGUGUGUGUGACAACAAGCGUGUCAUCGAAACCUUUUCAUAUGGUGGGAUACGAACACAUUUAUAUUAAAGCAUGCAAGCUGAUCACACUACAUAAGUAGUAUUUGCUUUUCCACACACCAAUAAGUCUUAAAAUAAGGUAAAAAAAAGUGAGACAACA